CCUACGGGAGGCUGCAGUCGAGAAUCAUUCACAAUGGGGGAAACCCUGAUGGUGCGACGCCGCGUGGGGGAAUGCAGGUCUUCGGAUUGUAAACCCCUGUCAUGUGGGAGCAAAUUAAAAAGAUAGUACCACAAGAGGAAGAGACGGCUAACUCUGUGCCAGCAGCCGCGGUAAUACAGAGGUCUCAAGCGUUGUUCGGAAUCACUGGGCGUAAGGCGUGCGUAGGCCGUUUCGUAAGUCGUGUGUGAAAGGCGCGGGCUCAACCCGCGGACGGCACAUGAUACUGCGAGACUAGAGUAAUGGAGGGGGAACCGGAAUUCUCGGUGUAGCAGUGAAAUGCGUAGAUAUCGAGAGGAACACUCGUGGCGAAGGCGGGUUCCUGGACAUUAACUGACGCUGAGGCACGAAGGCCAGGGGAGCGAAAGGGAUUAGAUACCCGUGUAGUC
rnacentral:rRNA from 1 species